CAAUAUUCAUCCAAUCACUGCAAAUUACUUAUACGCAUAUCGCUUGGCAAUGCAAAAGAGUGAUUACACUUGACAGUGAGUCAAAGUGUGCCAUUUAUGAGAUCAUUAAGUAUUCCAUCGUAGCUUUAUUUUCGAGCUGAUAAGACAUUGGAGCCAGAGCCUGUAUCCAACUUCCAACUAUCCAUUACUCCAUUCCCAGUCAGUUCUUUCGCAAUGAUGAAUCCAAUUAUGUACUUAACAAUUGUGGCGUCAGCUUCACUGAUUUCCGUGAUUCUGGGAUCACCGGUGACUAGCGAUCCACUCAAUAUACCAUCAGUUUCCACCGACGCAGCUGGCACGGUCUCUCAUAAAACAUUUGUGUUGCCAUCAGGUCGACCAGCAUCAAAAAUCCCGUCUGCAAAACCAUCAACAAUCACGCCUGAGCCAUUAUCAACAUCAGCAUCAGCAGCAAAAUCCACAACAACAUCUUCAACAACAUCGUCGUCAAACGCUGUACCUACUGCGAACUAUGGAGAUUCUUUAGAUGUCAUAUCCGAUAUUUCAGCAAGCUCGACAACUGUAAUACUAUCGCCAAUCGCUGAGUUACUGCUUCAUAUCAUUAUGCCCCUUAUUCUUCACGUUCAAUUUUUACUUCUGAGCUUUGUCGAUUCUAUAAAUUAUUCUUAACAAGGGUGGUGAACGCAGAGACGAAAAAUAUCUAUUGGUACUAAUUUGUUUAAACACGUAAUUUAAUAGUACUUUAUAUUGAUAGAAUGACUUAUUUAUUCGAAAGGCGAUUCGUUAACUCUUAACGAAUGAAUGUACGUUGAAACCAAGAGAUUCCAUUCGUUAAUAAUAAUAUCCGUUUUAUUAGUGAACAAAUGUUAAAUUUAAAACGUGAUUCAUCGAUGGCAAAAGGAAGGUGUGUAGACGAAUGUUCUUGUACAGAAAAUUACGAGGUGAUUUAAAUUCACAGUUUGAUGAUCUAUGUAAUUAGUUAUUGAAAAGUUGCGAAUCGUAACGAGUUCCACGGAAAUUCUUGUAUUUACAAUAAAUCUUCUCAGAAACUU